rfam:Ornithorhynchus anatinus chromosome 12, whole genome shotgun sequence.
GGCCUCUCAGGGUCACACCUGGAGAGUUCCCAGUACUCUACCAGUCUCGACUAUGGAAGGGAGAGUCAAGCAGAGGCAUAUCUAUUCCAUUCCUACCUUGGGCAGUGGCUAGAGAGUGGAAGGCAAUCCGCUACAAGU